AGGUUUCUUAUUCAUAGGAUGAACAUGAUUGUCUCUCUUCUGAUCUUCCUCUGUGGAUUCCUUGAAAUACGUUAUGGUCGCGGUUGAAGUAUCAAUUGGCCAGAAAGCAAACAAUUUCACACAGGAAUGAUGGUGCCCAUAGAAUGCCACAGCGAUCAAUACGGGAUAGUCUUCGAUUUUACACAACGUAGUUCCACUCAAAGUGUUUCGAUAGCUGAAUGCGAAUUUAAACCAAAUAAUUCAAGUACGGCAUUUUUUAUGACUGACGGCUUUGAAUCAGCAUACAAUAUUACACAGACAUCUCGAACCUGUAUACUGACAAUACUGAGUCUCAAAGAGGACCAGUGUGGAACAUACAGCUGCACAGAGCUCUACAUUAAAAGCGUAUACGUAUAUUGGAAUAUAUCAUGCAACGGUGAGCGAGUCGGCACUACACGUGUUACGAGUGCUCCUGGGAUGACGAAGUUUCAGCCUGACCCGGGAAGAACCAAGACACUUAUUGGCCAAAUACUCGGCGUCGUUGCAUUAAUUUUGUGUUCGUUGUGCAUGGCGUAUCGUAAGUGGAGAACUACCAUAAAACUAUGCGGUUAGUAUGGUCUAUGUGGAUAUGAUGCAAGCAGACGCAACGAUAGAAAAUAGUACAAUUAUUAAAUAAUGCUACUUUUACAGAAAAAAAGACGUGAAUAAUCCUGGGUCUUGAAUAAUACAAGACAUAAGAUGU